AGCGAACGCUGGCGGCAGGCUUAACACAUGCAAGUCGAGCGGGCACUUCGGUGUCAGCGGCAGACGGGGGAGUAACACGUGGGAACGUACCCGUUGGUUCGGAAUAACGGUGGGUAACUAGCGCUAAUACCGGAUACGCCCUUUUGGGGAAAGGCUUGCUGCCGCAGGAUCGGCCCGCGUCUGAUUAGCUGGUUGGGGGGGUAAUGGCCUGCCAAGAGCACGAUCAGUAGCUGGUGUGAGAGGAUGACACGCCACACUUGGACUGCGACACGGCCCAGCCUCCUACGCGAGGCAGCAGUGGGUAAUAUUGGACGAUGGGCGCAAGCCUGAUCCCGCCGUGCCGCGUGAGUGAUGCAGGCCUUAGGGUUGUAAUGCUCUUUUGUCCGGGACGAUAAUGACGGUACCGGAAGAAUAAGCCCCGGCUAACUUCGUG
rnacentral:rRNA from 1 species